rnacentral:lncRNA from 10 species
GCGCAAUCUCGGCUCCCUGUAACCUCCGCCUCCUGGGUUCAAGCGAUUCUCCUGCGCCACCAUGCCCGGCUAAUUUUUGUAUUUUUAAUAGAGAUGGGGUUUCACCAUGUUGGGCCAGGCUGGUCUCGAACUUCUGCCCUCAAGUGAUCCGCCCGCCUUGGCCUCCCAAAGUACUGGGAUUACAGGCAUGAGCCACCUGCCUGACCCACACAUUCAUUUUAUAGAGAAACUGAGGGAUUCCAUUUUAUAGAGAAACAGCGGCUCAAAACAGUUCAGGAAUUUAUACAGUCACUCAGCUUUUAUGUGGCCCAGCAGGUAGGAAACCAGCAAAUUCCAAACCCCCCAUUAUUUCCCUUGGUGCAUAGCUCCACUGCUGGUUACUCUAAUGUUUCAGAGGCCUCCACUGUAUUCAUUAAGCAGUGAUCAGAUGCCACUAUCCAAACCCCUCAUUCCCUUGACCCCGAACCCAGAAGAGCCGCAGUUAAGCCAUCUCAAAGAGGCCCCAUCAGACUCAGCAUUCCUGCCAUGGGAGCCACCUAAGCGAGCGGGAAGGAUACCAGCUCUGGAGCCAGGCA